rnacentral:rRNA from 1 species
UACGUAGGCAGCAAGCGUUGUUCGGAAUUACUGGGCGUAAAGAGUGUGUAGGCGGUGUUCUAAGUCUGGUGUGAAAUCUCCCGGCUCAACUGGGAGGGUGCGCUAGAAACUGGAAUGCUAGAGGAUGGGAGAGGUAAGCGGAAUUCCUGGCGUAGCGGUGAAAUGCGUAGAUAUCAGGAGGAACACCUGUGGUGUAGACAGCUUACUGGACCAUUUCUGACGCUGAGACACGAAAGCGUGGGUAGCAAACAGG